rnacentral:misc_RNA from 1 species
GAUGAAGAACGUAGCGAAAUGCGAUAAGUAAUGUGAAUUGCAGAAUUCAGUGAAUCAUCGAAUCUUUGAACGCACAUUGCGCCCCCUGGUAUUCCGGGGGGCAUGCCUGUCCGAGCGUCAUUACAACCCUCAAGCUCAGCUUGGUGUUGGGCCCCGCCGCCCCGGCGGGCCCUAAAGUCAGUGGCGGUGCCGUCCGGCUCCGAGCGUAGUAAUUCUUCUCGCUCUGGAGGUCCGGUCGUGUGCUCGCCAGCAACCCCCAAUUUUUUUCAGGUUGACCUCGGAUCAGGUAGGGAUACCCGCUGAACUUAAGCAUAUCAAUAAGGAGGA